GGAUGUCUUUGGCUAUUCUGGGUCUUUUGUGCUUCCAAACAAUCUUUAAAGUAUUUUGUUCAAGUUCUGUGAAAAAUGUCCAUGGUAGGGAUUGCAUUGACUCCGUAUAUUGCCUUAGGUAGUAUAGUCAUUUUGAUAAUAUUAACUCUUCCAAUCCAAGAGCAUGGAAUGUCUUUCGAUCUAUUUGUGUCCUCUUCAGUUUCUUUCAUCAGUGGCUUAUAGUUUUCAGAGUACAGGUCUUUUGUCUCUUUAGGGAGGUUUACUCCUAGGCAUUUUAUACUUUUGGGUGUGAUGGUAAAUGGGAUUGCUUCCCUAAUUUCUCUUUCUGAUCUUUCAUUGUUAGUGUAUAGAAAUGCUGUCAAUUUCCGUGUAUUAAUUUUGUAACCUGUGGCCGCCAAAUUCAUGGAUGAGCUCUAACAGUUUUCUGGUAGAAUCUUUAGGAUUCUCUAGGUAUAGUAUCAUGUCAUCUACGAAUAAUGAUAGUUUUACUUCUUCCUGUCCAAUUUGGAUUCCUUUUAUUUCUUUAGUUCUCUAACUGCUAUGACUAGAAUUUCUAAAACUAUGUUGAAGAGGAGUGGUGAGAGCGGAGAUCCUUGUCUUGUUCCUGAUCUCAGCAGGAAUUCUUUCAGUUUUUCACCAUAGAGAAUGAUGUUAGCUGUGGGUUUGUCAUAUAUGGCCUUUAUCAUGUUGAGGUAGGUUCCCGUUAUGCCCACUUUCUGAAGGGUUUUUAUCAGAAAUGGGUGUUGGAUUUUGUCAAAGGCUUUUUCUGCAUCUAUUGAGAGGAUCAUAUGGUUUUUAUUCUCCAGUUUGUUAAUGUGGUGUAUCACACUGAUGGGUUUGUGGAUACUGAAGAACCCUUGCAUCCCUGGGAUAAAUCCCACUUGAUCAUGAUGUACAAUUCUUUUAAUGUAUUGUUGCAUGUGGUUUGCUAGUGUUCGUUGAGGAUUUUUGCAUCGAUGUUCAUCAGUGAAACUGGCCUGUGGUUUUCUUUUUUUUGUGGAAUCUUUGUCUGGUUUUGGUAUCAGGGUGAUGGUGGUCUCAUAGAAUGAGUUUGGGAGUAUCCCUUCCUCUGAAAUUUUUUGAAAUAGUUUGAGAAGGAGAGGUGUGAGCUCUUCUCUAAAUGUUUGAUAGAAUUCACCUGUGAAGCCAUCUGGUCCUGGACUUUUGUUUGUUGGAAGUUUUUAAAUCACAGUUUCCAUUUCAGUUCUUGUGAUUGGUCCAUUCAUCUUUUCUAUUUCAUCUUGGUUUAGUCUUGGAAGAUUGCACUUUUCUAAGAAUUUGUCCAUUUCAUCCAGGUUUUCCAUUUUAUUGGCUUAUGGUUUCAUAUAGCAGUCUCUUAUGAUCCUUUGUAUUUCUGUGAUGUCCAUUGUUACUUCUCCUUUUUCAUUUCUAAUUUUAUUGAUUUGAGUCCUCUCUCUUUUUUGCUUGAUAAGUCUGGCUAAGGGUUUAUCAAUUUUGUUGAUCUUUUCAAAGAACCAGCUUUUUGUUUCAUUGGUCUUUUCUAUGGGUUUCUUUGUUUCUAUUUCAUUGAUUUCUGCUCUGAUCAUUAUGAUUUCUUUUCUUCUACUAACAUUAGGUCUUGUAUGUUCUUCUCUCUUGAGCUGCUUUAGAUGUAAUGUUAGCUUGUUUAUUUAAGCUUUUUCUUUUUUCCUGAGAUAAGCUUGUAUUCCUAUAAACUUUCCUCUUAGAAAGGCUCUUGCUGUAUCCCAUAGGUUUUGAAGUGUUGUAUCUUUGUUGUCAUUUGCUUCUAAGGAUUUUUUAAUUUCCUCUUUGAUUUCUUCAGUGCUCCAUUGGUUGUUUAGUAGCAUAUUGUUGAGUCUCCACAUGUUUGUGUUUUUUUGCAGUCUUUUUCUUUUUGUUGAUAUCAAGUUGUAUAGUGUUGUGAUCGGAAAAGAUGCUUGAUAUGAUUUCAAUUUUCUUAAAGUUACUGAGGUUGGAUUUGUAGCUGAGGAUAUGAUCAAUCUUAGAGAAUGUUUCAUGUGCACUUGAGAAGAAUGUGUAUUCUGUUGCUUUUGGAUGAAAUGUCCUAUAAAUACGUAUUAAGUCCAUCUGGUUUAAUGCAUCAUUCAGGGCCUGUGUUUCCUUAUUGAUUCUCUGUCUGGUUGAUCUGUCCAUUGCUGUAAGUGGGGUGUUAAAGUCCCCCACUAUGAUUGUGUUAUUGUCAAUUUCUCCUUUUAAGGUUGUUAGCAGUUGCCUUACAUAUUGUGGUGAACCUGUGUUGGGUGCGUAGAUAUUUGAAAUUGUUCUAUCUUCUUUGAUCCUUUGAUCAUUAUGUAAUGACAUUCUUUGUCCCUUAAAAUAUUCCUCAUUUUAAAGUCUAUUUUGUCUGAUAUGAGUAUUGCUACUCCAGCUUUCUUUUGAUCCCUGUUUGCAUGAAAUAUUUUCUUCCAUCCGCUUACUUUCAAUUUGUUUGUGUCCCUAGAAGUGAAGUAGGUCUCUUGAAGACAGCAUAUGUAUGGGUCUUGUUUUUGUAUCCAUUCAGCCAGCCUGUGUCUAUUGGUUGGGGCAUUUAGUCCAUUAACAUUUAAGGUAAUUAUCAAUGUGUAUGUUCUUAUUGCCAUUAUAUCAAUUACUUUGGAAUUGUUUUUGUUGCUCUUUUUUCUUCCGUUCUUCUCUUGUUCUCUCUUCUUCUGGUUUGAUGACUAACUUUAGUGUUGUAUUUGAGUUGAUUUUUCUUAUUUGUUUGUGUAUCAAUUGUAGAUUUUUGGUUUGCAGUUUUAUUCUUAAGUUUUGAUGUGAGUCUAUAUGCAUAUGAGAUUGUCUUAAGAUGUUGUUCUCUUAAUUGCAAGUUCAUCUCCAGUGUCCUGAAUUUGUAUCCACCUCUUCUCAUGAUUUCUGAUUUUGGUGGUAUAAUUGUGCAUAGAUGAUUUCGUAUCUUUACUGUAUAUAUACCUUUACUGGUGAGCCUUGUCAUUUGUGGUAUUUUUGUUUCCUGUUGCUGUCUUUUAUGUUCUGCCUAGAGAAGUUCCUUUAGUAUUUGUUGUAAAGCUGGUUAAGUGUUGCUGAACUCUCUCAGCUUUUGCUUAUCUGUGAAGCUUUUGAUUUCUCCUUCAAAUCUGAAUGAGAGCCUUGCUGGGUAAAGUAAUCUUGGUUGGAGGUUUUUUCCUUUCAUCAUGUUAAGUAUAUCAUGGCAGUCCCUUCUGGCCCACAGAGUUUCUGCUGAAAAAUCUGCUGAUAACCUUAUUGGAGUUCUGUUUUAUGUUACUUGCUUCUUUUCUCUAGCUGCUUUCAAGA
rnacentral:lncRNA from 1 species